CCCCUCCGCUCCCAUGACUGGUUCGUUUACUCUGAUGUAACUGUCAUUGGUUUAUUUGGUAUAGUCCGUGCAAGACCAUAGUAAAACUUGCAAUAUUCGCAGGCUACUUGCAAUACAGCUUUUGUAUUUUUGGUCGAUAGUCGGUUUACUUUGUGUUGUAUUAAUAACACAAGAUCUUUUACAUGCAGUACAUAUUUAACAUUUAUUCUGAUAGUUAUCAAUCGGUUGGCUUUAAAUUGUACAUACAUACAUACAUACAUUCAUACAUAAUUUAUUAGUUGCUCCUCGAGAGGCUUUUCAUCUCUAAUUUACAGUACUUCUUAAUAUUACUAACUAUAUAUCGCUAUAUUUACAAAGGUUCAGUUGAGUUUACGAAUAUGCUAUGAUAUCAAAAAAUCCAAUAUGGAACAUUGGUUCAAAUUUACAUUUGCAGAGGAUUACUUAUUUAAGAAAUCUAGCUGUGAGAAGGUUUUUCUUUAUAUUAAGUUUAAAACAUUGGACUGUCAUUCUAGAUUUUAGUGAGUCGUCAAGGCUAUUCCAAAUUGUGGAAGCCCUGUAUAAAAAAGACUUCUGAGCUUUAGAAGUUCUACAAAGAGGUUUAUGUAGCUGUUUAUACGCGAUUACUAAUUUCAGAACGAGUAACAAACUUUUGGCAUAGGUAAUCAGGUGCUAACUUGUUCAUACAUUUAUACGUCAUAACGCAAUCCCGGAGAUACAAAAUAUUCUCAACGGGAAGCCAUCAGUUCAGUUGCUUUAAAGCAAGUAUUAUAUGGUCGUAUUUAUACGAGAUCCUGUCAUUAUGCGUGCAGCAAAAUCAAAUUUGCACUGUCUUAAGUUUACAAAUGUUCUUCUGACUCGUUGAGGACUAAACAGUGGAACAAUAAAACAGCUUGGAAAAGACAUAAGAUUGUAUUAUCAUUUCCAGAGUUGAUUGCCUAAAUAAGUUCUCGACUCUAUUUAUUUGAUGCAGUUUCUUCAUACAAGAUGAUACCGAUUUCUUGAUGUGUUCAUCAAAAAAUAGACUUGGGUCCAUAGUUAAGCCAAGACACGCCGGGUCAGCUGUUCUCACAAAUCGUUCAUCUAAUAUAAACCGUUUUUCAAUACAUUUCGGAUGGACAUGAAACUUGCUACAUCAAUAUAACUUUCCAUUCCGAACAAUCGUAUGUUUUUUAUUUUUGAGAUUUAACGGUUUUUGGCGGGAAAAUGACGUCACGAAACCUCCAGUUAAAAUUUAUUUUCAAUAUCUUAAUAG